rnacentral:snRNA from 1 species
GUGCUUGCUUCAGCAGCACAUAUACUAAAAUUGGAACCAAUGUACAGAAGAUUAACAUGGCCCUUGUGCAAGGAUGACAUGCAAAUUUGUGAAGCAUUCCAUAUUAAA